GUCUUUUUGAUUAUAAUUUAAAGUCUGACCUGCCCAAUGAGUAUUUGAAUGGCCGCGGUAAUUUGACCGUGCAAAGGUAGCAUAAUCAUUAGUUUUUUAAUUGAAAGCUGGAAUGAAUGGUUGGACGAGAAAAUAACUGUCUCAAUUUAAUUGUAUAUAGAAUUUUAUUUAUAAGUAAAAAAGCUUAUAUGAUUUUAAAAGACGAGAAGACCCUAUAGAGUUUUACAUUUUAUUAUAUUAAUUAAUUUUAGAAUGUUUAUGUUUUUAAUAUAGUAAAAUGUUUUGCUGGGGCAGCAGAAAAAUUAAAUAAACUUUUUUUAUUAUUAUUACAUUGAUUUAUGAUUUAAUGAUCCAUUUUUUAUGAUUAUAAGAUUAAAUUACCUUAGGGAUAACAGCGUAAUUUUUUUUUAGAGUUCUUAUCGAAAAAAGAGUUUGCGACCUCGAUGUUGGAUUAAAAUUAACUUUUGGUGUAGGGGCUAAAAGGUUAGGUCUGUUCGACCUUUAAAAUUUUACA
rnacentral:rRNA from 1 species